rnacentral:rRNA from 1 species
CGGACGGGUGAGUAACGCGUGGAAAACCUGCCGUAUACUGGGGGAUAACACUUAGAAAUAGGUGCUAAUACCGCAUAAGCGCACAGCUCCGCAUGAAGCGGUGUGAAAAACUCUGGUGGUAUACGAUGGUUCCGCGUCUGAUUAGCUAGUUGGUGGGGUAAUGGCCUACCAAGGCAACGAUCAGUAGCCGGCCUGAGAGGGUGAACGGCCACAUUGGGACUGAGACACGGCCCAAACUCCUACGGGAGGCAGCAG